UCUCAGUUCGGAUUGUAGGCUGCAACUCGCCUACAUGAAGUCGGAAUCGCUAGUAAUCGCGGAUCAGCAUGCCGCGGUGAAUACGUUCCCGGGCCUUGUACACACCGCCCGUCACACCAUGAGAGUUUGUAACACCCAAAGCCGGUGGGGUAACCUUUUGGAGCCAGCCGUCUAAGGUGGGACAGAUGAUUGGGGUGAAGUCGUAACAAGGUAAC
rnacentral:rRNA from 1 species